rnacentral:rRNA from 1 species
GGCCAGACUCCUACGGGAGGCAGCAGUGAGGGAUAUUGGUCAAUGGGGGAAACCCUGAACCAGCAACGCCGCGUGAGGGAAGACGGUUUUCGGAUUGUAAACCUCUGUCCUCUGUGAAGAUAAUGACGGUAGCAGAGGAGGAAGCUCCGGCUAAAUACGUGCCAGCAGCCGCGGUAAUACGUAUGGAGCAAGCGUUAUCCGGAUUUACUGGGUGUAAAGGGAGCGUAGACGGUAGAGCAAGUCUGAAGUGAAAGCCCGCGGCUCAACUGCGGGACUGCUUUGGAAACUGAGCAGCUAGAGUGCAGGAGAGGUAAGUGGAAUUCCUAGUGUAGCGGUGAAAUGCGUAGAUAUUAGGAGGAACACCAGUGGCGAAGGCGGCUUACUGGACUGUAACUGACGUUGAGGCUCGAAAGCGUGGGGAGCAAACAGGAUUAGAUACCCGAGUAA